rnacentral:tRNA from 1 species
GGAGAAUUGGCAGAGUGGUCGAAUGCGGCGGUCUUGAAAACCGUUGUACCGCAAGGUACCGGGGGUUCGAAUCCCUCAUUCUCCGCCA